rnacentral:tRNA from 1 species
GUAGAGCAUUGGUCUUCGGAACCAAAGGUUGAGGGUUCGAGUCCCUCUGUG